rnacentral:rRNA from 1 species
UACGUAGGGUGCAAGCGUUAUCCGGAAUUAUUGGGCGUAAAGAGCUCGUAGGCGGUUUGUCGCGUCUGCUGUGAAAACUGGGGGCUCAACCCCCAGCCUGCAGUGGGUACGGGCAGACUAGAGUGCGGUAGGGGAGAAUGGAAUUCCUGGUGUAGCGGUGGAAUGCGCAGAUAUCAGGAGGAACACCGAUGGCGAAGGCGGUUCUCUGGGCAUUACCUGACGCUGAGGAGCGAAAGCAUGGGGAGCGAACAGG